UUGUGUCUUCGAGUCGUUGAUUUCACACUGCCGAGAAAAGCCUCUAGAUAGAAAAUAGGUGCCCGUACCGCAAACCGACACAGGUAGUCAAGAUGAGAAUUCUAAGGUGAGCGAGCGAACUCUCGUUAAGGAACUCGGCAAAAUGACCCCGUAACUUCGGGAGAAGGGGUGCUCUUUAGGGUUAACGCCCAGAAGAGCCGCAGUGAAUAGGCCCAAGCGACUGUUUAUCAAAAACACAGGUCUCUGCUAAACCGUAAGGUGAUGUAUAGGGGCUGACGCCUGCCCGGUGCUGGAAGGUUAAGAGGAGUGGUUAGCUUCUGCGAAGCUACGAAUCGAAGCCCCAGUAAACGGCGGCCGUAACUAUAACGGUCCUAAGGUAGCGAAAUUCCUUGUCGGGUAAGUUCCGACCCGCACGAAAGGCGUAACGAUUUGGGCACUGUCUCAACGAGAGACUCGGUGAAAUCAUAGUACCUGUGAAGAUGCAGGUUACCCGCGACAGGACGGAAAGACCCCGUGGAGCUUUACUGUAGCCUGAUAUUGAAAUUCGGCACAGCUUGUACAGG
rnacentral:rRNA from 1 species